rnacentral:rRNA from 1 species
GACGAACGCUGGCGGCGUGCUUAACACAUGCAAGUCGAGCGGUAAGGCCCUUUCGGGGGUACACGAGCGGCGAACGGGUGAGUAACACGUGGGUGACCUGCCCUCAGCUCUGGGAUAAGCCUGGGAAACCGGGUCUAAUACUGGAUAUGACUCCAUGACGCAUGUUGUGGGGUGGAAAGCCUUGUGCGGCUGAGGAUGGGCCCGCGGCCUAUCAGCUUGUUGGUGGGGUGANGGCCUACCAAGGCGACGACGGGUAGCCGGCCUGAGAGGGCGACCGGCCACACUGGGACUGAGACACGGCCCAGACUCCUACGGGAGGCAGCAGUGGGGAAUCUUGCGCAAUGGGCGAAAGCCUGACGCAGCGACGCCGCGUGAGGGAUGACGGCCUUCUGGUUGUAAACCUCUUUCAGCUCCGACG